rnacentral:lncRNA from 1 species
UUUGGUUUUACUCAGAUAACCCAGCUCUAGACAGCAGAGAGAUGAGCUGUAGGCAUAGGGAGACAUGCAGCAUCUUUGCUGGGAUGGCUGUGAUAUUUGCAACACCUGUCAAUCUCUCCCUUCAUCCAGCCCUUGGAAGAAGGAGCCAGCAGCAGAGCAACAAAGAGCACAAAGCACCAAAACACCAGCUGCUGCUUCGAAGUCAUGGCUUUGGAGCUGCCACACUUACAGAGCUGAAGAGAGCACAUUGGGAAAACAUCUUCUGGCGAGAGCAGGGGAAGGAGAAAGCCCAGAACUGUCCAUUACUGUCAGGCUGCAGCACUGCACAGCCUGUCAGGGUGCAUGCAGACCCUGGCUCCUGUCAGCAUCUAUCCUUCCCAGCUUCUUCACAGCACUGCUCCAGGCCUGGCUCUUGCCGAGGAAAGACUGGAGAGAUGGAGGGAGCCUGAGCAGUAUGGCUUGGAAAGCAGAGGGCAGAGGAAACACAGGUAACUUCUAAAGUCAGUAGUUUCAGAAAAGCAAAAUGAUGUUCUAAUGUGGUCUCACCUUGUGCUUUGUAAGGCUGGUUUGUGCACGGGGCUGGCCAUAGCCUGGGGGCUCCCUGGCUGUCCUGCCUGCUGCCCACCAGCAGGCUGUCCUGCUGCCACCCACCACCCUGCCUGGCACUGUGGGUGCUGCUGCCCACCAGCAAACCCAGCCUCCCUGGUGUGGGGAAACUGGGCUUCCCACUGUGAAUGCUCCCCUGCCUUGCUUUUCUGUGUCUUGAAGGUGAGCCGACCUUCUCCAGCCCUUGCAUAAGAUGUUCUUUGUCCAUCAGCACAUUUAGCUCCUGCUCUGCUCCAGCUGGUGCUGGGCCAUGUGGGCAGGGAAUGUCAGUCCUGACAGCAGCAAUGCUGCCAGUCUGCAGGGCAGAUGGGGAGCCACCGGGGCAUCAGAGGGCAUUGCAG